CCUUUGCGACCCCAGUCAGGCGGG
rnacentral:rRNA from 4 species